CACCUCCUUUCUAAGGAUGUUCUUCAGAAGCUUGCUUCUAUCGACCGUUUUAGAAACAUCAGUGGCCAACGGUCGUCAGGAUCGUUGAGCUGCAUUGGCGGGAUUUCGCCGUCUUCGUUUCUCUUUCUUCGCGGACGAACACGCGCUGGGGCUGCAACCUUGCAGAAUCCCUGGUCCUUGACUGGAUAUGCGUUAGGGGCUUGUAGCUCAGUUGGUUAGAGCGCGCGCUUGAUAAGCGUGAGGUCGGAAGUUCAAGUCUUCCCAGGCCCACCACACUCAUCGAGUGAGCAUUCGUCUUCUGGUUACGGGGCCAUAGCUCAGCUGGGAGAGCGCGUGCUUUGCAAGCAUGAGGUCGUCGGUUCGAUCCCGUCUGGCUCCACCAGAUGGUUUGAUCACCGACUACUUGUACCGUCGUCCGCGAAACAUCACUUCGCACUUACUAGUCCGGAUGGACAGUAAGCUGCGUGAUUUCUGACAUCGUAAAGAGGAGAUCGAUCCGAGUUGGAUCGGGCAACAAGUAAUUGUUGCGCGAUACUUCAUUAUCUCCGGAUCAUUUCGGCGCUCGUGCGUCUUCCAGGGUAGCUCACAAGGCUGCGUCUGAAGGACACGCGAGUUGUAAAUGAUCCUUUUAGCGAAGCUUGACCGCCUCGCUAUCGGAACGAUCUUACGAAGCAAGCUGGUCUUUCUAAUCAUUGUCCGGCUGCAGAUAGCGUUCAUCGAGGGCGCGUGCCUUAGAGACUUAGGUUUCUUGGCAAUUCUGCAGACAACAUUCUGCCGAGUGUGUGGACAUUGAUAAUGAGAGCAAUCAAGUGCCUUAAGGGGUGUUCGGUGGAUGCCUUGGCGCUGAGAGC
rnacentral:tRNA from 1 species